rnacentral:rRNA from 1 species
GAGUUUGAUCCUGGCUCAGGACGAACGCUGGCGGCGUGCCUAAUACAUGCAAGUCGAGCGAGCUUGCCUAGAUGAUUUUAGUGCUUGCACUAAAUGAAACUAGAUACAAGCGAGCGGCGGACGGGUGAGUAACACGUGGGUAACCUGCCCAAGAGACUGGGAUAACACCUGGAAACAGAUGCUAAUACCGGAUAACAACACUAGACGCAUGUCUGGAGUUUGAAAGAUGGUUCUGCUAUCACUCUUGGAUGGACCUGCGGUGCAUUAGCUAGUUGGUAAGGUAACGGCUUACCAAGGCAAUGAUGCAUAGCCGAGUUGAGAGACUGAUCGGCCACAUUGGGACUGAGACACGGCCCAAACUCCUACGGGAGGCAGCAGUAGGGAAUCUUCCACAAUGGACGAAAGUCUGAUGGAGCAACGCCGCGUGAGUGAAGAAGGGUUUCGGCUCGUAAAGCUCUGUUGGUAGUGAAGAAAGAUAGAGGUAGUAACUGGCCUUUAUUUGACGGUAAUUACUUAGAAAGUCACGGCUAACUACGUGCCAGCAGCCGCGGUAAUACGUAGGUGGCAAGCGUUGUCCGGAUUUAUUGGGCGUAAAGCGAGUGCAGGCGGUUCAAUGAGUCUGAUGUGAAAGCCUUCGGCUCAACCGGAGAAUUGCAUCAGAAACUGUUGAACUUGAGUGCAGAA